rnacentral:rRNA from 1 species
UACGUAGGGCGCAAGCGUUGUCCGGAAUUAUUGGGCGUAAAGAGCUCGUAGGCGGUCUGUCGCGUCGGAUGUGAAAGCCCGGGGCUUAACCCCGGGUCUGCAUUCGAUACGGGCAGACUAGAGUGUGGUAGGGGAGAUCGGAAUUCCUGGUGUAGCGGUGAAAUGCGUAGAUAUCGGGAGGAACACCGGUGGCGAAGGCGGCCCCCUGGUUGGAUACUGACGCUGAGACGCGAAAGCGUGGGGAGCAAACAGG